rnacentral:snoRNA from 1 species
AAGACUAUACUUUCAGGGAUCAUCUCUCUAGUUGUUGACUUGAGAAAUAUGUUUCUAAGGUGUUUUGUUUCGCUAUCUACGAUGAUGAUAUUUAGUACUCCUUUUCUGAGGGUGAAGCGGGCAGAGAUUGAGGAGUUCAGUCUUCUGAUCUCUGCUUUUGAUGACCGUUCCUUGUUUCCUCUGGGGAUUUGGAGGAAGGGGGUAUGAUCAGAGUGGU